rnacentral:misc_RNA from 1 species
CCAAACUUGGUCAUUUAGAGGAAGUAAAAGUCGUAACAAGGUCUCCGUUGGUGAACCAGCGGAGGGAUCAUUACCGAGUUUACAAACUCCCAAACCCCUGUGAACUUAUACCACAAACGUUGCUUCGGCGGGUUUUCGCCCCAGAUCGCGCCGCCCCUCUCGCGGGGGGUUGGAUUGGCACUGGAACCAGGCGCCCGCCGGAGGACCCAAACUCUUCUGUAUUUCUUAUAAUGCAUGUCUGAGUGGAUUUAAUUAUCAAAAAAAUGAAUCAAAACUUUCAACAACGGAUCUCUUGGUUCUGGCAUCGAUGAAGAACGCAGC